CACGUAGGGGGCGAGCGUUGUCCGGAUUUAUUGGGCGUAAAGAGCUCGUAGGUGGCUCGGUAAGUCGGGUGUGAAAUUUCGAGGCUCAACCUCGAGACGCCACCUGAUACUGCUGUGGCUAGAGUCCGGUAGGGGAGCGUGGAAUUCCUGGUGUAGCGGUGAAAUGCGCAGAUAUCAGGAGAACACCAGUGGCGAAGGCAGGUC
rnacentral:rRNA from 1 species